UACGGAGGGGGCUAGCGUUGUUCGUAAUUAUUGGGCGUAAAGAGCGAGCAGGCGGUUCGUCAAGUCAGAUGUGAAAUAUCCCGGCUUAACCGGGAGGGGCCAUUUGAAACUGACGGACUAGAGUGGAGCAGAGGACAGUGGAAUUCCCGGUGUAGUGGUGAAAUGCGUAGAUAUCGGGAGGAACACCAGUGGCGAAGGCGACUGUCUGGGCUUUAACUGACGCUGAGGCGCGAAGGCCGGGGGAGCAAACAGG
rnacentral:rRNA from 1 species